GUGCUCACUUCAGCAGCACAUUUACUAAAAUUGGAACAAUACAAAGAAGAUUAGCAUGGUCCCUGCACAAGGAUGACAGGUAAAUUUGUGAAGCAUUACAUAUUUUU
ensembl:snRNA U6 U6 spliceosomal RNA